CGUCCAGUUUCCAGCACCACUUAUUGAAGAGACUGUCUUUUUCUCCCUUGCGUAUUCUUGCCUCCUUUGUCUGAGAUUAAUUGACCGUAGGCGUGUGUGCUGAUUUCUGGUCUGUCCUGUUCAGUUGAUCUGUUUCUGUUUUUGUGCCAGUACCAUACUGUUUUGAUGACUAUAGCUUUUUAAAAAGGGUCUAACUGGAGCUGCAGCUGCCGGCCCACGCCACAGCCACGGCCACGCCAGAUCCAAGCCUCAUCUGCGACCUACACCACCGCUCAUGGUUAAGGAUCCUUAACCCACUGAGUGAGGCCAGGGAUCAAACCCGCAUCCUCAUGGAUGCUACUCGGGUUCUUAACCUGCUGAGCCACAACGGGAACUCCUUGAUAACUAGGUUCGUGGUAUAGCCUGAGGUCAGGGAGCCUGAUUCCUCCAGCUCUGCAUUUCUUUCUCAAGAUUGUUUUGGCUAUUUGAGUUCUUUUGUGUUUCCAUAUAAAUUCGAAAAUUAUGUGUUCUAGUUCUGCGAAAAAUGCCAUUUAAUAGGGAUUGCAUUGAAUCUGUAAAUUGUCUCGGAUAGCGCGGUCAUCUUUAAAUAUUGAUUCUUUCCAUCCAAGAGCACGGCGAAUCUUUCCAUCUGUUUGUCCUCUUAGAUUUCUUUCGUCAGCUUCUUAGAAGUUUUUGGAGCACAGGUAGGUCUUUUGCCUCCUUAGGUAGGUUUAUUCCUGGGUAUCUUCUUCUUUUCCAUGCGAUGGUAAAUGGGAUUGUUUCCCGAAUUUCUCUGAUAUUUCACUGGUAGUGCAUAGAAAUGCAACAGAUUUCUCGCUGUUAACUGGGUAGCCUGCAGCUUUACCCGAUUCCGUGAUGAGCCCUCGUAGUUUUGUUGGGGGCAUCGUCAGGAUUUCCCGUGUGUAGUAUCGUGUCAUCUGCACGCCGUGACAUGUGUGCUUCUUGCUUUCCGACUUUGAUUCCUUUCUUUUCUUUUUCCUCUCUAAUUACUGUGGCCAGGACUUCCAGUGCCGUGCGGAAUAGAACUGGUGGGAGCAGGCAUCCUUGUCUUGUUCCUGUUCUUGGAGGAAAUGCUUUCAGCUCUUCACCGUUGAGUGUGAUGUUGGCUGUGAGUCUGUCACGUAGGCCUUUAUUGUGUUGAGGUAGGUUCCCUCUCUGCCCACAAACACACUACUCCUGGCUUAUGGGGCACACGACCAGCAGGGACCUUGGACGUGGUGACGCUUUGGGCCACGGGUAAAGCUGAAUCCUCAAACAAAACGGAAAUGCGUACGAGCCACUUGUGUGGAGUAACUGAAUCAUCUCCAGGUUAUUUUUCUUCUCUCCUAAGGCGUUCCCAUCGUGGCUCAGUGGUUAACGAACUAGCAUCCAUGAGGUUGCAGGUUUGAUCCCUGGCCUUGCUCAGUGGGUUAAGGAUCCAGCCUUGCCGUGAGCUGUGGUGUAGGUCACAGACACAGCUCAGAUCCUGCAUUGCUGUGGCCGUGGUGUAGGCCGGCAGCUGUAGCUGCAAGUGGACCCCUAGCCUGGGAGCCUCCAUAUGCUGCUAGUGCAUCCCUAAAAAG
rnacentral:lncRNA from 1 species